AGUUAAAAUGGAUCGGAGGGA
rnacentral:miRNA from 1 species